AAAACUCUCUCUCUUCUAGGUCGAUGCUGUGAGUACCGAUGUCGAUCGUUGUUUGGCUAGUGCCGAAGCAAACUUUGCGUCUUUUUAUGCUCCAACUCCCGAAUGGAAAUUUGUGGAGGAUUUUGAUUGGCAGCCUAUACCUAUAACUUCGAUUCCUGUUGCCUUAGACAAGUUUUUGGGAAGUACAAACUGUCCUGCAUUUCAGAAGGAGUUAAAUAAGGAACUAAACUCACCAACCAAUCAAGCAUUCAACGCUAAGCACCAAAAAUUGUAUAAAUAUCUUACAAAAUAUAGUGGAGCUCAAAUAACCGAUUACCUUUCUGCUCGGGAUCUUUACGACGUCCUGUUUAUUGAG